rnacentral:rRNA from 1 species
GAUGAACGCUGGCGGCGUGCCUAAUACAUGCAAGUCGAGCGAACAGACGAGGAGCUUGCUCCUCUGACGUUAGCGGCGGACGGGUGAGUAACACGUGGAUAACCUACCUAUAAGACUGGGAUAACUUCGGGAAACCGGAGCUAAUACCGGAUAAUAUAUUGAACCGCAUGGUUCAAUAGUGAAAGACGGUUUUGCUGUCACUUAUAGAUGGAUCCGCGCCGCAUUAGCUAGUUGGUAAGGUAACGGCUUACCAAGGCAACGAUGCGUAGCCGACCUGAGAGGGUGAUCGGCCACACUGGAACUGAGACACGGUCCAGCCUCCUACGGGAGGCAGCAGUAGGGAAUCUUCCGCACUGGGCGAAAGCCUGACGGAGCAACGCCGCGUGAGUGAUGAAGGUCUUCGGAUCGUAAAACUCUGUUAUUGGGAAGAACAAAUGUGUAAGUAACUAUGCACGUCUUGACGGUACCUAAUCAGAAAGCCACGGCUAACUACGUG